UAAUACGGAGGGUGCAAGCGUUAAUCGGAAUUACUGGGCGUAAAGCGCACGCAGGCGGUUUGUUAAGUCAGAUGUGAAAUCCCCGGGCUCAACCUGGGAACUGCAUUUGAAACUGGCAAGCUAGAGUCUCGUAGAGGGGGGUAGAAUUCCAGGUGUAGCGGUGAAAUGCGUAGAGAUCUGGAGGAAUACCGGUGGCGAAGGCGGCCCCCUGGACGAAGACUGACGCUCAGGUGCGAAAGCGUGGGGAGCAAACAGGAUUAGAUACCCUGGUAGUCCACGCUGUAAACGAUGUCGAUUUGGAGGUUGUGCCCUUGAGGCGUGGCUUCCGGAGCUAAUGCGUUAAAUCGACCGCCUGGGGAGUACGGCCGCAAGGUUA
rnacentral:rRNA from 1 species